UCCGUAGGUGAACCUGCGGAGGGAUCAUUACACAAAUAUGAAGGCGGGCUGGAACCUCUCGGGGUUACAGCCUUGCUGAAUUAUUCACCCUUGUCUUUUGCGUACUUCUUGUUUCCUUGGUGGGUUCGCCCACCACUAGGACAAACAUAAACCUUUUGUAAUUGCAAUCAGCGUCAGUAACAAAUUAAUAAUUACAACUUUCAACAACGGAUCUCUUGGUUCUGGCAUCGAUGAAGAACGCAGCGAAAUGCGAUAAGUAGUGUGAAUUGCAGAAUUCAGUGAAUCAUCGAAUCUUUGAACGCACAUUGCGCCCUUUGGUAUUCCAAAGGGCAUGCCUGUUCGAGCGUCAUUUGUACCCUCAAGCUUUGCUUGGUGUUGGGCGUCUUGUCUCUAGCUUUGCUGGAGACUCGCCUUAAAGUAAUUGGCAGCCGGCCUACUGGUUUCGGAGCGCAGCACAAGUCGCACUCUCUAUCAGCAAAGGUCUAGCAUCCAUUAAGCCUUUUUUUCAACUUUUGACCUCGGAUCAGGUAGGGAUACCCGCUGAACUUAAGCAUAUCAAUAAGCGGAGGAAAAGAAACCAACAGGGAUUGCCCUAGUAACGGCGAGUGAAGCGGCAACAGCUCAAAUUUGAAAUCUGGCUCUUUUAGAGUCCGAGUUGUAAUUUGCAGAGGGCGCUUUGGCUUUGGCAGCGGUCCAAGUUCCUUGGAACAGGACGUCACAGAGGGUGAGAAUCCCGUACGUGGUCGCUGGCUAUUGCCGUGUAAAGCCCCUUCGACGAGUCGAGUUGUUUGGGAAUGCAGCUCUAAAUGGGAGGUACAUUUCUUCUAAAGCUAAAUAUUGGCCAGAGACCGAUAGCGCACAAGUAGAGUGAUCGAAAGAUGAAAAGA
rnacentral:rRNA from 1 species